rnacentral:rRNA from 1 species
AUUGAACGCUGGCGGCAGGCCUAACACAUGCAAGUCGAACGGUAACAGGAAGAAGCUUGCUUCUUUGCUGACGAGUGGCGGACGGGUGAGUAAUGUCUGGGAAACUGCCUGAUGGAGGGGGAUAACUACUGGAAACGGUAGCUAAUACCGCAUAACGUCGCAGGACCAAAGAGGGGGACCUUCGGGCCUCUUGCCAUCGGAUGUGCCCAGAUGGGAUUAGCUAGUAGGUGGGGUAACGGCUCACCUAGGCGACGAUCCCUAGCUGGUCUGAGAGGAUGACCAGCCACACUGGAACUGAGACACGGUCCAGACUCCUACGGGAGGCAGCAGUGGGGAAUAUUGCACAAUGGGCGCAAGCCUGAUGCAGCCAUGCCGCGUGUAUGAAGAAGGCCUUCGGGUUGUAAAGUACUUUCAGCGGGGAGGAAGGGAGUAAAGUUAAUACCUUUACUCAUUGACGUUACCCGCAGAAGAAGCACCGGCUAACUCCGUG